rnacentral:tRNA from 1 species
GCGCCUGUAGCUCAGGUGGACAGAGCAACUGCCUUCUAAGCAGUGGGUCGGGGGUUCGAGUCCCUCCAUGCGUA